ACCCUGUGCUAUUUUUAGACUGCGGGACUCCUGUGUGUAAAAGUGGGUGGAGUCAGGUCCCCAGGCUGAAACUCCAGUCAUUCUCACUAAAUCUGUCCGAGAGGAAGGAUCUCCUGAAUACCCUAACCAGAAGCCUUAAGUCUCUCGAACUAAAUAACCGUCUAGUAAAAACAUGGACCGCACCCUGUUUCUCAAGCAGCUGCUCCCUCUAUUAAAAACUGAGUCAUUCAGAAGAUCCAGCGAAAGCAGCUCAUGCAAGAAGACACGCAUCCACUCAUUCACAUGGCACAGACGACAUUCUUUGUUUGUCACAGUCUUUUUUUUUUUAAAGUAA